rnacentral:rRNA from 1 species
AUUGAACGCUGGCGGAAUGCUUUACGCAUGCAAGUCGAACGGCAGCACGGACUUCGGUCUGGUGGCGAGUGGCGAACGGGUGAGUAAUGUAUCGGAACGUGCCCAGUCGUGGGGGAUAACGUAGUGAAAAUUACGCUAAUACCGCAUACGAUCUAUGGAUGAAAGCGGGGGAUCGCAAGACCUCGCGCGAUUGGAGCGGCCGAUAUCAGAUUAGGUAGUUGGUGGGGUAAAGGCCCACCAAGCCAACGAUCUGUAGCUGGUAUGAGAGGACGACCAGCCACACUGGAACUGAGACACGGUCCAGACUCCUACGGGAGGCAGCAGUGGGGAAUUUUGGACAAUGGGCGAAAGCCUGAUCCAGCCAUUCCGCGUGCAGGAUGAAGGCCCUCGGGUUGUAAACUGCUUUUGUACAGAACGAAAAGGUUUCUACUAAUACUAGGAGCUCAUGACGGUACUGUAAGAAUAAGCACCGGCUAACUACGUGCCAGCAGCCGCAGUAA